rnacentral:lncRNA from 1 species
UCCUUCCUCCAACAAUCUAACCAUUUUCUAUUCAAAAAUAAAAUUCAAUAAUCCUCAUGAGAAAUACGCAAUCAGAAAAGCUACAUUGCAAAUCCCCUUUGAAUUCACAAUUUCCUAUUUAUAUCAAAACCUAAAUCAUGUAGUGUAAAAUUCACAUACCCAACUAUUAGAAAUACUCUACAACAAUGGCCCAUAAUUGAGAAAUUGUGGUGACAUAAUAAAAAGUAAUACACAUGAUAAAUUGCAGCGGCAAGGAGUUUCCCAUUCUUAUAUCAGAGAUGCAUGCAAGUAGUCAUCAGAGGUUCCCAUUCGUAUCCACCGCAAGAGGCAGCAACCCUUUAACCAUUCAUCAAUUUGUUCCCCUACCGCAAGAAACAUUAUUACUUGCAAAUUGUUCAUCUGCUGGACAUUUGAUAUUGCUAUGCAAUUACUACAAAAGAUAGCUUUCUAAGCUUAGGAGAAUAUAAUAAGAAAACUCGAUAGUAAGGCGAGAAGUUGAGAGAGAGCAAAAACUCAAAAGGAAAUUGAAGGAAAUUAGGAAUUUAGAAAGGAGACCCAUCAAAGAUUUUCUUUUUCUUUUCUUAAAGAGGGAGACCGAAGGGGAGAUAGAGAGAAACAUGCUCGGUAAUGGCGGUAGAAGAGGGAG